rnacentral:tRNA from 1 species
GUCUCCGUAGCUCAGUGGAUAGAGCGUUUGGUUGCGGACCAAAAGGCCGUAGGUUCGAAUCCUACCGGGGACG